rnacentral:rRNA from 1 species
AUUGAACGCUGGCGGCAUGCCUUACACAUGCAAGUCGAACGGCAGCACGGGUGCUUGCACCUGGUGGCGAGUGGCGAACGGGUGAGUAAUACAUCGGAACAUGUCCUGUAGUGGGGGAUAGCCCGGCGAAAGCCGGAUUAAUACCGCAUACGAUCCACGGAUGAAAGCGGGGGACCUUCGGGCCUCGCGCUAUAGGGUUGGCCGAUGGCUGAUUAGCUAGUUGGUGGGGUAAAGGCCUACCAAGGCGACGAUCAGUAGCUGGCCUGAGAGGACGACCAGCCACACUGGGACUGAGACACGGCCCAGACUCCUACGGGAGGCAGCAGUGGGGAAUUUUGGACAAUGGGCGAAAGCCUGAUCCAGCAAUGCCGCGUGUGUGAAGAAGGCCUUCGGGUUGUAAAGCACUUUUGUCCGGAAAGAAAUCCUUGACUCUAAUACAGUCGGGGGAUGACGGUACCGGAAGAAUAAGCACCGGCUAACUACGUG